AAAGUUGAAAAGAACUUUGAAGAGAGAGUUCAAGAGUACGUGAAACCGUUCAGGGGUAAACCUGAGAAACCCAAAAGAUCGAAUGGGGAGAUUCAUCGUCAGCUCAUUUUAUAUAUAUGCUAGUUAUGAUAUGGGUUACUACUUGUAGUAUUGCCUGUACAUUCUAGUAUAUUUAAUUGUAAGAUGUUGUCGGCGUGCACUUCUCCCCUAGUAGGACGUCGCGACCCGUUGAGUGUUGGUCUACGGCCCAAGUGGGAGCUUUUAAUAAAUUUUAUUUAUUGAAAACCCUUGGUGUUUCCUGACUGGCACUCGUCGGUAUUCGUAUGGUAUUGAGCCGCAUUUUAUAUAUGCGUCCAUAUCUGUCGCAAGCGAGGUUAGUUUUACUGAUAGUGCGGACCUAGUGCCGUCGUUGGUACUAAUCAGCUGUUGGUUGUACAGAAUUCUAGGACUGGCUCGAAAAUGAAAUAUAUACCGGUCAGCGAUGCUACUGCUUUGGGUACUUUCAGGACCCGUCUUGAAACACGGACCAAGGAGUCUAACAUGUACGCGAGUCAUUGGGAUUUUUAUAAAUUAAACCUAAAGGCGUAAUGAAAGUAAAGGUCGUCCUUGUGUCGACUAAGGGAGGAUGAGCUGUGUUACGAUACAGCUUCGCACUCUCGGGGCGUCUCAUUCUCAUUGCGAGAAGAGGCGCACCUAGAGCGUACACGUU
rnacentral:rRNA from 1 species